rnacentral:rRNA from 1 species
CUGCUGCCUCCCGUAGGAGUCUGGGCCGUGUCUCAGUCCCAGUGUGGGGGGCCUUCCUCUCAGAACCCCUACGCAUCGUCGCCACGGUGGGCCGUCACCCCGCCGUCUAGCUAAUGCGCCGCAUGCCCAUCCGCCACCGGAUCGCUCCUUUGGCCACCGGAGGAUGCCCUCCGGUGGCGUCACGGGGUAUUAGGCCGCGUUCGCCGGUCGGUUACCCUCCCGUGGUCGGCCGCGUGU